UAUCUUGACAUGCUUUUUCCAUC
rnacentral:siRNA from 1 species